rnacentral:rRNA from 1 species
UGGGGAAUAUUGCACAAUGGGCGCAAGCCUGAUGCAGCGACGCCGCGUGAGGGAUGACGGCCUUCGGGUUGUAAACCUCUUUCGCCAGGGACGAAGCGCAAGUGACGGUACCUGGAGAAGAAGGACCGGCCAACUACGUGCCAGCAGCCGCGGUAAUACGUAGGGUCCGAGCGUUGUCCGGAAUUACUGGGCGUAAAGAGCUCGUAGGUGGUUUGUCGCGUUGUUCGUGAAAACUCACAGCUCAACUGUGGGCGUGCGGGCGAUACGGGCAGACUUGAGUACUGCAGGGGAGACUGGAAUUCCUGGUGUAGCGGUGGAAUGCGCAGAUAUCAGGAGGAACACCGGUGGCGAAGGCGGGUCUCUGGGCAGUAACUGACGCUGAGGAGCGAAAGCGUGGGGAGCGAACA